UGUUGCUCCAAUUUUCUCAGCUGUAAUUAAUUCUACUGCAUCCUUUGUAGUGGAAAUACAGCCAUGAACAGUACGUAUUGACUUACUUUUGAAGAUGAUGCUGUAUUGACCUGGGUCUGGACACAUUUGUUCCGUAGAAUGAUUGGAAGCUUAUAUUUACCAGGAUUUAUAGUGUCAUAUUCAAAAUCUUGUUUACUAACUUAUAAUUCAAUUUGUUGGCCAGGCUAGGCAAUCACUUAUUGUAAGAUGUCUCUUUCCCAUACUUGCCGAUCCUCGACAUCCUGCCGAAUCAACUAGUGCCUCAAACGAAUCUAUUCUAAAGGUUGCCCUUGAUCAUGGAAAAACUGCUGGGGUUAUAAAGUCGCACGAUCGUGUAGUUGUUUGCCAGAAAGUUGGUGAUUCAUCUGUGGUUAAGAUUAUCGAGCUUGAAGAUUAAGUGUUGCAUUGAUCUAACUACAGUACAAGCAUUUUGUUUUUUGGUCUACUAAGAUUUUGGCAGUGGCAGAUCAUUCAGCUUCCACUUUUUGAGUUGUCUCCACCGGGUUUGAUGACUAGUUUAUAUUUUUGUGAUUGAAGCUGAAUGUUAGAAUAGUUAUAUGAUAGUCUGUCAUAGUUAAAAAUAAGAGGAAAUAUGCCCUGAUGCCAAAUAUUUUUUAUCAAAGUUUUACUCAAGGACAAUUUGAAAGGAAGAGUAGUCGUCUUACUGUUGUCAGCUGUAUGAAUGAGUCUAAUCAUGAACUAUUUUACCCC